UUUAUAUUUUAUCUCUAUAAUAACUUCAAGUGCUUAAAAAGAUUCAAGUAUACAAUAAACCUCCCUCGAAUAAAUUUCCACAAUCUUAUCAUUAUCCCCUAAUCCAAUAGAUGCAAUUAAUUCUUAAGAAUCCUCUAAUCUAUUUUCUUCAUAAAUACCUAAAAUCUUUUCAUCAUCUUCUAAUGUCCCUAACUUGUAUAAUUCCCUUUCAAUACUAUAUAAUCUUUUUUUAUCUUUUCUUUUAAAAUCAUCAACUUUCUUAUACAUAAUA
rnacentral:lncRNA from 1 species